rnacentral:tRNA from 1 species
GGGGUUGUGGCUCAGUGGUAGAGCACUUGCCUAGCACUUGCCUAGCACGUGCAAGGACCUGGGUUCGAUCCUCACUCAGUACCA